rnacentral:tRNA from 3 species
GCGCCUGUGGCGGAAUUGGCAGACGCGCUGGAUUUAGGUUCCAGUGCCUUAGGGCGUGAGAGUUCAAGUCUCUCCAGGCGCACAA